UUCUCACACUGCCCUGCCUGUGAGGGGACUGGGGCUACACAAGAAGCUGGGAGUCGACAGAAUCAAGACAGCUGACCCAAGUUGACCACAGGGAUAUUCCAUACCGUAUGUCAACACACUGACCCAUAAGACCAGGAUCCUUCUGUUCCUGAGUGUCCAUCUAAAAAUCCUCUACAAUGAGUAUAUACAGGAUCUCCAUCAAACAGUUGGAUUUAAUCUGACCAAUGACCUGUGGAAAGCAUCUUUCUGCUGGAUCACAAGGGAGGUCAACAAGCUUCAGGGAAGAAUCAGCCUGCCCGAGACUGGCCAUCUAAAUAGGACCAACCUCUGAGCUCACCAAGUUUGGCACCAUGCCAUGCUGACCCAAAGCACAAAGUUCAGCAAAGAAGAGAGACACAGACCCUGCUCCUUAAUCAUCGAGGAGCUCCUACCAGCACUGGGGGCUGGAGAGAAGAGAGACCCUCCCCAGCCCUCAACAGCACUGCCUACACAAUAGGGUUGACAGUCCUAUGUACCCACCUGAAUGAGGCAUCCAAGCAAACUCUUCUGCCUGCUGCUCUUCUCCCCACAUCAUCCUUGAAUCAGUCAUCCAUGGCUGAAAAGGGAGAGUACUCCUGGCAACACGAGCUCAGGAUUUACUAUGAUUUUGCUGCUCAGCUUGCAGUAAGAUGAACCCAACAAGUUCAGGCCAAAGCCCCUGUGCCUCGUCUUUUCUGUUCUCCUAUUUGUGCUGCUUUCUUCACCCUGUAAAACACAAAGAGUUCAGUCCCUUUCCUACUGCUGCUAGCUCCAAAUGGAAACAAUGCUUAUCUGAAAGGACAAAUACUCACCACUGAAAACAACCAAGCACAGAAGGCUGCAUCCUGCCACACUGUAUAUGUAUAGCUCCUACUGAAGUAUUUUUGAGCACCUUCAUUGACUAGAAGAAUCAAAAGUGCAGUAUUUGAAGCUGUGAGACAUCAGCAACCCCUCAAAGGAGCUAAGCAACCCAAACUCUCAUGGGGAAUAUGCAGAAACAUCCCCUCCAGUCUGCAGGUUUGCAGUGUCCAUACCCCUCUAUACCACUAUGGGACUUGCUUGUGAAGCCAUGGAUAAAAGCAGAUACAUCCCUUCAGAGGACAGCAUCUUUAGCAUUACUAGUGCCUCACCUGUAUUCCUUACUGUGGCUCUUACAGAACACUAUCUUUGUUCAGGGUAUGACAAAACAGAGAUUAUAAGAAUUUUUUCCUGCAGCCAACGCUCUGUCCCAGACAGUGGUUACACUUCUUUCAAUAAUAGAAAACAAAAUUAAAUCUUACAGCAGAUUAUUCUGCAACUUAUUCCAUAGGAUGCUUUUAGCCACCAACCUGGAAGCACACUUAGGUGCCAUGCACUAGAGGAUUUUUCUAUUUCAAGUUACACACAGAUAUUUGGGUCUCCUGACCUUCUCAGGCACCAUAUAGAGCCCAAGCCACUUUUUGCAGGGGACAGUGGAUGAGAGCCCGAUGGAAUCCAAUCUUUUGUUCCACUUUCCAGAAACAAAGACCAUGGUCUGCUGCAAUGACAGAAAGCCUCACCUGCAGAAGAGGUUUCUGGGUAGCAAUAAAAAUAAUUGUAAGAGGCAAAACCACAGGUUUGAAUCAAGGAAACUGUAUCUUUGUUAAAAACUAGGCCUCAUAGCUUGUGUAAACUUUAGGAAGCCAUAGAAAUGCGAAGUUCUUGAAGACAAGUGAAGAUAAGUAGAGCUGCUGUUUACAACUCAGGGGGUAGGGGGUCCGUGAAGAUAAGGAGGCAAAGUUGAAAACACAAUGGACGGUAGGGUUGCUGUUUACAACACAAUGGAGGGUCCAGUGAAGAUAAGCAGAUUUGCUGGCUGCAACUCAAUGGGAAGUCCCGUGAAGAUAAGGAGGCAGAAUUGCUGUUGUGACACAGUGCAACCCCCUAAAGGUUCAUCCAGCUAACAUCAGAUGGGCCCCGAGACCCUCCCCACAUUCUAGGACGCAUGCUUAGAAGAGGGGGGACAUCCGAUUUAUAUGUAACAAACUUCUUGGAAAUGUGAUGACUAUGUACAUGCUAUGCCUAUAAAUCUGUACUCUCUGCCUUGCUUGGUGUGUGAGUUAGGAGGAGAUAUCCCCCUUGCUGUUACAAACAUACCUGCUUUAUAACCUUAUAUGGGUUAUAGAGACUGAUUCCGUACGUCAGGUUGCUGAGCACAAAUUUAUAUACAGAAAUCCAGUCUAACUCGACUGUAUAAUGAAAACUGGGCUUCUUCAAUUUCUAAAGAGGUAUCAGUCAUUCUCUAAUGUGCUCCUUGUGUGCAUACGACCCAGAUAGCAAGCCCUGUUUUCCAGCUUUUCCCUACUGCUACCCAUUUCUGUCUCUAGUUUUGCUCUUACUUUGCUCCCUUUGCCUUGUUCUUUGCCAGAUCAACUCAGUCCUGAGCUUCGAAUCAUUUUUCUUACAGAUACCAGCUUGCUUGAAUCUCACUCAUCUCCUGGCUAUAACCUACCCCUUAUAUUCGCCUGGUUAUCCCAAUUGAACACAGCCCUAUUUUACAUCAUUUGCAUUGCUUUUAAAGGGUCAUUGAUAGCUGAACUGAGCAGCAUCUUCCUAGUGCUUUUUACCCUCACCAGAGAUAACACCUUUCUGUCUCUUUGGUGCAUCAUACUCGUUCCUGAUUGUCACUACCAACCACUGGCAACACGGCGGAGGAUUGCUGUCUUCUGACCUCAGCAGAAAAAAAAAAAGCGAAAUAGUACUCCUCCCAAACAUAAUGAAUGGGUUUCUGUGUUGGAAAACAGGAGAGCUGCUGCAAAUACGUGGAAUUUUCAUGUCGUUUCACAGAAAUCUUCUUUGUGCUUAUAAAUGUGCAUGACUAGCUGGGCCACAUUGCAGCACCCUGUUCUAUUUUUAAUUUAAUUUUUCAUUAAAUUAAUCAUAUUUUUCUUACCUCUGCUCUGGCAGGAUUAUGAGCAGGUUCAUUUGUCAGAAGAGCUAAUUACUGGGGGAUGGAUUACACAGAAUGGGAAGAUUUUCCUAGGCCAGUAGUUAUCUCCUGCAAAUCAGUGUCCUGAAAAUGCUCUAAGCAAUAUCUUAAUAGCCUGUAUAUGAAACAAAUGGACAUUAAAAGCUGGAGCUUAAUGUUUGUUUGUUUGUACAACAGCUAAUGCAAAUGAGUGGCAGGGAUUGCAUCUCACUGCCAGCUCCCAGUACUGUGUUCACUGCACCUUGCCUACACAAAAUGCCCAGCAUCACAAAUUGAGGAAGGUUGCAUGAGACUCUUCCCUCUGAAACCAUUUUUCCUGACUGUAAGUCUUGUAUUUGAUCAAGAUGUCUCCUAGAAAUCACCAAGUGCUGCCAGAACAGUGGUUGAGAACUCAGGAGGCUGCACCUCUUUCUCUCGUCACAAACCUUGCAGCCACAGAGCUGCCCCCCGAGCUGCUGUAGAAACCACACAGAUAGUCUGCAGGUCACACGCUCACUGCGCAGAAGAAGUGCCCCAGGUGCCCAGUCCCACGGCAGGCUGGUUGGGUUUUGUCCUUCAUGAAGCUCUGUUGCUCACAAAAGCAAAGGUGGUGAUUUUGUUCAAAGGAAGUCUGUGCUUGUUCUGAAUUGUGUGUCGCUAGCUGACUCACUGCUCUAAAGGUCAGCGGCUGAAGAGACUGCUAGAUGAGACUGAGGCUCCAAAGACCCUUCUGGAGCAAUCACGAUCUACCAGCAAGGAAUAAAGCUAUUACUGCAGCAUAAAGAACAUUAAGUGACCUUUACUGUCUAUUCUCUACAUUAAGGCGGAGCCUAAACCAAUCUUUCAGCAGCUCUGAUUACUAAGCAUUUCAGGAAGGUGUGGUAAGUAUCCUUUCCUUGCACAAAGGAAGAGACAUUGCUUUUCAGGGAAUUUUCCAAAUAGCUUUUCAUAUCAAGGCUGUCUGAGAUGAAGAGUGACGUGGAGCAUUGGGCUUGCUAAGUCAGUAAACUGCUCUAUGAUGCAUUUGUUCUGCUGCUGCUGCAGAAGACAGCACAUGAACUGAAUUAUAUAUUUUUUUGCUGCAAAUUCUGCUGUUGGCAGCUUCUGGAUAGAAAAACUACCCAAAGGAUAUAUGUCACAGCUUCCUCCUCGCAUGAAACUCACGAGAACCUUACGUGCGAAACUGAAG